rnacentral:lncRNA from 1 species
UAACAGUGAAUUUUCAGAAGAGCUCAGUGGGUUCUCCCCCCAUCGCCAAGGCUGUACCUCACCCUGCCCUCCCGCUUCCCUCACCCUCCACCCAUCUUCCCCCCAAAACCCUUUUCUGAAAGCAGAGGAGCUGCUCGGAGCAGUGAGGAAUGUCAAGAGGAAAGCUGGGUUCGGAAAUCCAUGAUUUCCUGUCAGUUAAUUCAUUUCAGCAAAACAGAAGGAAACAAUGUGGCUGCUCUGAAAAUACACCAAUUAAUAUCAGCGUUUCAUUUCUUAAUGAGAACUAACUACAGCUACUGUCCUCUCAGACUGCUGAUGAACUGCAUCAUCUGCAUGGAAAAACAGAAACAACUAAACCCUUUUCCUACAUCUCAAGAACACCCUUCGCCUCGCAGAGAACACUUCAAAAAUAAAUGCAUGCUGUUAUCGGUGGUAUCUUUUCAGCAUUAAAUUAAGCUGCAGAGCGCCCAUCCUAGCUCGGUGCUGAGCCCUUCCCUCUUCAUUCCUUCCACUGCCAUUCCCAGUCUGCCUUCCACUCACGAGUCCAUCUCACACCUCACCCCAACGUAUGCUUUUUUCCUGUGACUUUUUGUGUUUCCUCCUGCGUCACCCACUGUUUAAUUCUGCAGUAGAUUCGCAAAGCUGUAUGCGUGGAAAUUACUAUAGAAAGUUCUCUUGAAAUAAAAUUUCAGAAAAUUACUUUAGGCA